UACGUAGGGGCAAGCGUUGUCCGGAUUUAUUGGGCGUAAAGAGCGUGUAGGCGGCUAGGUAGGUCCGUUGUGAAAACUCGAGCUCAACCUCGAGACGCCGGUGGAAACCAUCUAGCUAGAGUCCGGAAGAGGAGAGUGGAAGUUCCGUGGAUGUAGCGGUGAAAUGCGCAGAUAUCAGGAAGAACACCCGUGGCGAAGGCGGCUCUCUGGGACGUGACUGACGCUGAGACGCGAAAGCGUGGGGAGCGAACAGG
rnacentral:rRNA from 1 species